rnacentral:rRNA from 1 species
GGAAUAUUGCACAAUGGAGGAAACUCUGAUGCAGCAACGCCGCGUGAGUGAUGAAGGUCUUCGGAUCGUAAAACUCUGUCUUAUGGGACGAUAAUGACGGUACCAUAGGAGGAAGCCACGGCUAACUACGUGCCAGCAGCCGCGGUAAUACGUAGGUGGCAAGCGUUGUCCGGAUUUACUGGGCGUAAAGGAUGUGUAGGCGGAUAUUUAAGUGAGAUGUGAAAUCCCCGGGCUUAACUUGGGGGCUGCAUUUCAAACUGGAUGUCUAGAGUGCAGGAGAGGAAAGCAGAAUUCCUAGUGUAGCGGUGAAAUGCGUAGAGAUUAGGAAGAAUACCGGUGGCGAAGGCGGCUUUCUGGACUGUAACUGACGCUGAGGCAUGAAAGCGUGGGGAGCAAACA